GACGAACGCUGGCGGCGUGCUUAACACAUGCAAGUCGAACGAUGAACCCGGAGCUUGCUCCGGCGGAUUAGUGGCGAACGGGUGAGUAACACGUGAGUAACCUGCCCUUGACUCUGGGAUAACUGCGGGAAACUGUAGCUAAUACCGGAUACGACCCUCGGCGGCAUCGCCAGGGGGUGGAAAGAAUUUCGGUCAAGGAUGGACUCGCGGCCUAUCAGCUAGUUGGUGAGGUAACGGCUCACCAAGGCGACGACGGGUAGCCGGCCUGAGAGGGUGACCGGCCACACUGGGACUGAGACACGGCCCAGACUCCUACGGGAGGCAGCAGUGGGGAAUAUUGCACAAUGGGCGCAAGCCUGAUGCAGCAACGCCGCGUGAGGGAUGACGGCCUUCGGGUUGUAAACCUCUUUUAGUAGGGAAGAAGCGAAAGUGACGGUACCUGCAGAAAAAGCACCGGCUAACUACGUGCCAACAGCAGCCGCCG
rnacentral:rRNA from 1 species